rnacentral:rRNA from 1 species
GAUGAACGCUGGCGGCGUGCCUAAUACAUGCAAGUCGAGCGAACAGAUAAGGAGCUUGCUCCUUUGACGUUAGCGGCGGACGGGUGAGUAACACGUGGGUAACCUACCUAUAAGACUGGGAUAACUACGGGAAACCGGAGCUAAUACCAGAUAACAUUUGGAACCGCAUGGUUCUAAAGAGAAAGAUGGUUUUGCUAUCUCUUAUAGAUGGACCCGCGCCGGAUUAGCUAGUUGGUAAGGUAACGGCUUACCAAGGCAACGAUACGUAGCCGACCUGAGAGGAUGAUCAGCCACACUGGAACUGAGACACGGUCCAGACUCCUACGGGAGGCAGCAGUAGGGAAUCUUCCGCAAUGGGCGCAAGCCUGACGGAGCAACGCCGCGUGGGUGAUGAAGGCUUUCGGGUCGUAAAACUCUGUUAUUAGGGAAGAACAAACGUGGAAGUAACUGUGCACGUCUUGACGGUACCUAAUCAGAAAGCCACGGCUAACUACGUG